AUAGAAAGCAGGCUAGAUCGUUGGGCUCAACAGGUAGUGAUCAAUGGCUCCAUGUCUAGUUGGCAGCUGGUUUCAAGCGGAGUGCCCCGAGGAUCGGUCCUGGGGCCGGUUUUGUUUAAUAUCUUUAUUAAUGAUCUGGAGGAUGGUGUGGACUGCACUCUCACCAAGUUUGCAGAUGACACUAAACUGGGAGGCGUGGUAGAUACACUGGAGGGUAGGGAUCGGAUACAGAGGGACCUAGACAAAUUAGAGAAUUGGGCCAAAAAAACCCGAUGAGGUUCAACGAGGACAAGUGCAGAGUCCUGCACUUAGGACGGAAGAAUCCUAUGCACUGCUACAAACUAGGGACCAAAUGGCUAGGUAGCAGUUCUGCAGAAAAGGACUUAGGGGUCACAGUGGACGAGAAGCUGGAUAUGAGUCAACAGUGUGCUCUUGUUGCCAAGAAGGCUAACAGCAUUUUGGGCUGUAUAAGUAGGGGCAUUGCCAGCAGAUCGAGGAACGUGAUCAUUCCCCUUUAUUCGACAUUGGUGAGGCCUCAUCUGGAGUACGGUGUCCAGUUUUGGGCCCCACACUACAAGAAGGAUGUGGAAAAAUUGGAAAGAGUCCAGCGGAGGGCAACAAAAAUGAUUAGGGGUCUGGAGCACAUGACUUAUGAGGAGAGGCUGAGGGAACUGGGAUUGUUUAGUCUGCAGAAGAGAAGAAUGAGGGGGGAUUUGAUAGCUGCUUUCAACUACCUGAAGGGGGGUUCCAAAGAGGAUGUAGCUCCGCUGUUCUCAGUGGUGGCAGAUGAUAGAACAAGGAGCAAUGGUCUCAAGUUGCAGUGGGGGAGGUCUAGGUUGGAUAUUAGGAAAAACUAUUUCACUAGGAGGGUGGUGAAGCACUGGAAUGCGUUACCUAGGGAGGUGGUGGAAUCUCCUUCCUUGGAGUUUUUUAAGGCCCGGCUUGACAAAGCCCUGGCUGGGAUGAUUUAGUUGGUAAUUGGUCCUGCUUUGAGCAGGGGGUUGGACUAGAUGACUUCUUGAG
rnacentral:lncRNA from 1 species